rnacentral:rRNA from 1 species
UACAGAGGGUGCGAGCGUUAAUCGGAAUUACUGGGCGUAAAGCGUGCGUAGACGGCUAUCUAAGUCGGGUGUGAAAGCCCCGGGCUCAACCUGGGAAUUGCAUUCGAGACUGAAUAGCUAGGGUACGGUAGAGGGAAGCGGAAUUUCCGGUGUAGCGGUGAAAUGCGUAGAUAUCGGAAGGAACAUCAGUGGCGAAAGCGGCUUCCUGGACCAGUCGACGAGCACGAAUGCGUGGGAAGCAACAGGGAAUAGAAC